UACGGAAGGCAGCAGUGGGGAAUAUUGCACAAUGGGCGAAAGCCUGAUGCAGCUAUGCCGCGUGUAUGAAGAAGGCCUUAGGGUUGUAAAGUACUUUCAUCGGGGAGGAAAAACAAAACUAAUAAUUUUAUUUCUUGACGUUACCCGAAAAAGAAGCACCGGCUAACUCCGUGCCAGCAGCCGCGGUAAUACGGAGGGUGCUAGCGUUAAUCAGAAUUACUGGGCGUAAAGAGCACGUAGGUGGUUUUUUAAGUCAGAUGUGAAAUCCCUGGGCUUAACCUAGGAACUGCAUUUUGAAACUGAAAUACUAGAGUAUCGUAGAGGGAGGUAGAAUUCUAGGUGUAGCGGUGAAAUGCGUAGAUAUCUGGAGGAAUACCUGUGGCGAAAGCGGCCUCCUAAACGAAUACUGACACUGAGGUGCGAAAGCGUGGGGAGCAAACGAGGGAUUAGAUACC
rnacentral:rRNA from 1 species